rnacentral:rRNA from 1 species
GACGAACGCUGGCGGCGUGCCUAAUACAUGCAAGUCGAACGCUGAAGGAGGAGCUUGCUUCUCUGGAUGAGUUGCGAACGGGUGAGUAACGCGUAGGUAACCUGCCUGGUAGCGGGGGAUAACUAUUGGAAACGAUAGCUAAUACCGCAUAAUAGUAGAUGUUGCAUGACAUUUGCCUAAAAGGUGCAAUUGCCUCACUACCAGAUGGACCUGCGUUGUAUUAGCUAGUUGGUGGGGUAACGGCUCACCAAGGCGACGAUACAUAGCCGACCUGAGAGGGUGAUCGGCCACACUGGGACUGAGACACGGCCCAGAAUCCUACGGGAGGCAGCAGUAGGGAAUCUUCGGCAAUGGACGGAAGUCUGACCGAGCAACGCCGCGGGAGUGAAGAAGGGUUUCGGAUCGUAAAGCUCUGUUGUAAGAGAAGAACGAGUGUGAGAGUGGAAAGUUCACACUGUGACGGUAUCUUACCAGAAAGGGACGGCUAACUACGUG